rnacentral:lncRNA from 1 species
GCGUGUGACUUGUGACCUGGAAUUCGUCAAGUCGCAACGUACGAAGUGUACAUGUGUCAUGGCGUGACGAGUGGGGACCUUCGUGGCCAUGUUUUGGCAUGAUUUCGGAGAUUCAGACGGAAAUCUCAAAGACCUAUGGGUUGUCUCUCGGACGCUGUGGAGGAGGUUUGCCUACAGUUCUUCUUAUGCGGAGUGUACGGCAUUCCACCAUGACACGCAGAUGACGUACCCUGCCCUGACGAAGGAUACCUUCAGAAAAUUUGACAAUUUUCAUCGGUUUUGAAGAGUUUCCUCCUAUUUCUGGAUUGAAGAUGG